AACGAACGCUGGCGGCAUGCCUAACACAUGCAAGUCGAACGAGAUCUUCGGGUCUAGUGGCGCACGGGUGCGUAACGCGUGGGAAUCUGCCCUUUGGUUCGGAAUAACAGUUGGAAACGACUGCUAAUACCGGAUGAUGACAAAAGUCCAAAGAUUUAUCGCCAGAGGAUGAGCCCGCGUAGGAUUAGCUAGUUGGUGUGGUAAAGGCGCACCAAGGCGACGAUCCUUAGCUGGUCUGAGAGGAUGAUCAGCCACACUGGGACUGAGACACGGCCCAGACUCCUACGGGAGGCAGCAGUGGGGAAUAUUGGACAAUGGGCGAAAGCCUGAUCCAGCAGUGCCGCGUGAGUGAUGAAGGCCUUAGGGUUGUAAAGCUCUUUUACCCGGGAUGAUAAUGACAGUACCGGGAGAAUAAGCUCCGGCUAACUCCGUGCCAGCCGCCGCAGUAA
rnacentral:rRNA from 1 species